AUUGAACGCUGGCGGAAUGCUUUACACAUGCAAGUCGAGCGGCAGCGCGGGGGCAACCCUGGCGGCGAGCGGCGAACGGGUGAGUAACAUAUCGGAACGUACCCUGUCGUGGGGGAUAACUAUCCGAAAGGAUAGCUAAUACCGCAUACGACCUGAGGGUGAAAGCGGGGGACCGCAAGGCCUCGCGCGAUAGGAGCGGCCGAUAUCGGAUUAGCUAGUUGGUGAGGUAAAGGCUCACCAAGGCGACGAUCCGUAGCGGGUCUGAGAGGACGACCCGCCACACUGGAACUGAGGCACGGUCCAGACUCCUACGGGAGGCAGCAGUGGGGAAUUUUGGACAAUGGGGGCAACCCUGAUCCAGCCAUUCCGCGUGAGUGAAGAAGGCCUCGG
rnacentral:rRNA from 1 species